rnacentral:misc_RNA from 1 species
GAAAUGCGAUAAGUAGUGUGAAUGACAGAAUGCAGUGAAUCAUCGAAUCUUUGAACGCACAUAGCGCCCGCCAGUAUUCUGGCGGGCAUGCCUGUUCAAGCGUCAUUUCAACCAUCAAGCCCCCGGGCUUGUGUUGGGGACCCUGCGGCUGCCCGCAGGCCCUGAAAUGCAGUGGCGGGCUCGCUGUCCACACCGAGCGUAGUAGCAUUACACCUCGCUCAGGGCGUGCGGCGUGCUCCGGCCGUUAAACGCGACCAUAACGCAUACCAAGGUUGACCUCGGAUCAGGUAGGGAUACCCGCUCAACUUAA